AGGGGGGCUGCUCCUAGUACGAGAGGACCGGAGUGGACGCAUCACUGGUGUUCGGGUUGUCAUGCCAAUGGCACUGCCCGGUAGCUAAAUGCGGAAGAGAUAAGUGCUGAAAGCAUCUAAGCACGAAACUUGCCCCGAGAUGAGUUCUCCCUGAGACUUUAAGUCUCCUGAAGGAACGUUGAAGACGACGACGUUGAUAGGUCGGGUGUGUAAGCGCAGCGAUGCGUUGAGCUAACCGAUACUAAUGAACCGUGAGGCUUAACCUU
rnacentral:rRNA from 1 species